AGAAACGGCUCCACAUUUGGAAAAGAUAUCCUUGAGGGAUAUAUAUGCUGAAAAUCCAAACAGAAACCCAGCACUGGAGAUGGAGCAAAGAUGUUCUAUUGGCAAUUUGUGCAGCUCAUUGUGCGACCGUUCUGAACACCGGCAGUCACCUAUCUGCCACAUGAUCCUUCCCUAAGCCAAGCCAGGAUGGAAGGGAUCACUUGAGGGCUAUAACAAACAAGAAAGAGAAUGUUGCAUAAGACACUCUGUAAAACUUAAAGCUAGGAAAACAGACGUGUAGAAGUUUGAGAAAGUGAAGAUGAAGAGAGAUGAUAUAUAUGCUUUUGUAACUGAAAGACAGGAAAGAGACAAGCAUGAGAUCCUGAAAGAAGCCACAGUGUUCUCCAGCCAGAUUUCAGCCCAGUACACACCUGGACACACUCCAGGCACACUAGAUGCAGCCUUGAAGAACUUUUUUUCUAGAGACUGUUUAUGUCAAGACAGUGCAAAGCAAGUGUUCCAAGAAUUUCAUCUAAGUUGCAAGACUGCAAAGAUUUCUAGAUGCAGUUUACACCCUGAAAGAAAUUCAAAGGUGGAUGUGGAAGUUAGGGGACUGUGAGUGCUGAAUUGAAUCCAGAGCAAUAUUGCACAUGAAAAUUUUUUUGGGGGGGGAAUUUUGCAUUUUUUUGCAUUUUGGGAAGCACUGGAUCAGAAAUAAAAGCUAAAAAGUAAUUUGGAAGCACAGAAUAAAUGAAAACUAAAAAAGUCAUUUGUAAGACUGUGUCAAAUGGAAAUGUGUAUCUAUAGUGGAAAUACAAAUGGGGAUUCUUGAAUCAUGAGAAGAAAGAAGAUAGAAGUUUGAGCAUGCAGGCUGGACAUUGGAGUUUGAAGCACUGGCAAGACUUGAAUCACUUGAAGGGAGUAGGAAUGGGCAGAAGAGUCUGGAGUGGUAGAGAGGAGGAGUACCAAGGUAGAGCAGAAACGGAGUGAUCUAGAAUGGAUGAUAGGCCAAAAGAAAUCAGUAAGAAUAAAGGUCCUAAGAGCGGAAAGUUGGCAAUGGUAAAAGAGAAACCACGGUGGAGGACAGGUGAUUUGUAAAAGAAAAACAGAGUGUGAGGGGACAAGGAAUGUAACAGGGGAAGACAAGAGGGAACCUGCAUUAGGCAAAGCUGAAACAGCAGGAGAAUUGCAGACUUUAUAAAUGUGACUCACUAGAUUAAAGGAGUAGUUAUAAUAAACAUCUUCCUUAUAGAUGGAGAGGAGAGCAACAACCACAGGGCUCUUUUGACAGGGCACUUUCUUCCUGCAUUCUCUUUUCUAAGGUGGGAGAGCACAAAAUGUGUGUAAGGACUACUGCCAUUUCUCUUAGUAGAUGGUAUCAGUUCCAGCUGUAAGAUAACAGUAGCCUCACAGCA